CACUGGAAAGUACUCACAUGUGCCCCGAGCCAGGGUGGGUAGGUUUUGACGAGAAACCCGGUGGAAACCUAGACAAAUUCUAGUAGCCCAUAUCUUAUCCCCCCUCGUUAAAUUAGGGCACUAUCAACCUACCUUCUACCCCAUAAAGACCCUAUAAACAUCCUGUGCGCCGUUCAGUCAAGGGUACUUCAGAUCACUCACCAAUGGCAAUUGUGAACUCGUCCUGUCCAACACCAGGAAAGCUGAUGUCUUUCCCUUCCUUGAGAGCCUGGAUCAUCCCUUCAUAAGCCUCACGGGUAGGGGUGUCGAGAAUGAGCUCUGCUUCUUUUAACUCUUCGUCUUCAUUACAUAGGAUAAAGCAAGAGACUGCCCCGAUGAUUGUGAUAAGGGUGAUAAUGAUGAUGCUGGAACGAGAACGAGAAAACAUUUCGGUGAGAUCGAAUAAAUCUGACAUUGAGGCAUGCAGCGUCCGACCCAUCUGGUUUCCUUUUCUUGGAGGUGGAAUGACAAAAAUGCCAAUCUUCUGCUGGAUGGCUUUCCUUUCCUUCUUGAGCCAUCGUUGGGCCUCACUUGGUUGCCGAAUCCACCACCAGUCAUUUCCAAGCCACCCGUAAAAAUGUGAUAGUAGGUGAAGACAAAAACCUUACCGAAAAGACUGGACAGAAAGGUCACCCAAAGACACCUUUUUGAAAAAUGUUGAGCUUUUGAAGUGACCACGUACCACAACAGAGGAUACGAAGUGAUUCAAACUACCGCGAAAAAACAGCAGCUGACAUGAUCGAUGAAGCAAAAGUCUAGACAAGGUGACGAGCCAACCUGCACCACGCAUGGAUAACAUUUGUUAAA